CCGAGAUUGCACCACUGCACUCCAACCUGGGUGAUAGAGCAAGAUUCUGUCUCAAAAACAAAAACAAAAUGUCCAUGCCAACACAUCCCAUUCUACAUGUUCUUUUUACAUUGUAACAUUGGCUCCCCUCUGUCUAAAAUAGGCUCUAUGUUCCCAUUCCUUGAGUAUGAGUUAGUCUUGAGAACUCACUUCUAAUGACUAGAAUGCAGUGAAAGUGACACUGCCUGACCUUCAAGACUAGAUCAUCAAAGGUGCUACAGCUUCUGCUUUGGCUUACCCUCUCUGUCGUGGGACACUCACCCUUGGACCCAAUCUCCACACUGUGAGAACUUCUAUGCUACCUGGAGAGGCCUUCUAUAGAUAUUUCAGUCAACAGGCCUAGUUAAAGUUUCAGCCAGCGUCAACCACCCAACAUGUGGGUGAGUGAACCCUCAAAUGAUUGCAGCUCCCAGCCUUUGAGUCUUCCAGUUGCGGUCCCAGUCAUUGAAACAGAGUCAAGCUGCCCCCGCUGUGAUUUAUCUGAAUUUCUGACCCACUGGGAGCAUAAUAAAUGAUUGUUUUAUGUUACCAAGUUUUGGAUUAAUUUGUUACACCGGUACAGCAACUGAAGCAUUGAUUGUACAAUUUCAUAUUCAGAAACUAUGGUAUAUGAGAUUUUCUUUUUCUAUAUUCUAUCUGUAGCAAAACACGACAUGGUUAUACUCCUACAUUUUUGCCAAUCUGAUGGCUAUGAAAUAGCACAGUGUUUUUUUAAAAAGAAAAAAAAUAGCCCACCAUUAUUCCAUUAUUGUUCUGUAGGAAAAAACAGCAACGACCACAGAUGUUAUCAGUGUCAUUACAUCCUCAGUUCCAAAAACAACAGCAACAGCAAAUCCUCAGUUUCUAGCACAAUGCCUGCCACUAGUAGGUUUUUAAGCAAUAUUUGCUGAAUGUAGGAAUUAGUAAGUGCCACUGUUUGCUCAACUCUAUUCUAAGUGGUUUACGUAACUUGAUUUCCUUAAUCUACACAUUAACUUUAAUGAGCAUACUUAUCUUCAUUUUGUAAAUAUUGAAUAGUCUUCAGGAGAUGAAGGCAUUUAAAUGAGGUCAUAUUUAUAAGUGGCACUUAUAAUUGGCAGAGCUUGAAUUCAGACACAAAGCCCUUUCCCUUUCUCUUUUACAUUAAGGCCCAAAGAAGCUUACAAAUUAUAUAACAACACUUUUUUAAAGAAUUAUAUUUUAUUCCACUUACUACUUUAUUUUUGUCUUUCAUCAAAUAUUUGCCCUUUAUGGGUCACUCAGAUUGCCACUACAUAAUUUAUAUCAGAGUUGUUCCCGAGCUAGUUGACAGCCCUCUCAAGAAACAAGCCAUAACAUACUUGGUUCUCUUUAAUCAGUAGGAUGUCUCAAGGCAGCCCAGUGUUUUUAAGACAGCUGUAGAUUCUCUGUAUAUCAUUUAAUCAUUAUUCAUUUAUUCAUUCAAAAAUUUACUAUGUGACCAGGCUGCAUUGAGAGCUACUGAUAUAAUGAUGGACAAAGAGUCAUGGUCUUUGUUUUCAUGGAAUUUGGGGUCUAGUAGGGGAAAUAGAUAUUAACCCAAUAAUCACUCAAUUUGAGUCAAUUCUAGAAAGAAAGUGUAUACAAAGUUAUGAGACCAUCAAGAAGGAAUAUGAGUAAGUUUAGAGGGUCUGGAAUGACUUCCCUGAAGAAAUGAUGCCACUUGACUCUGAGACAGGAGGGGGCAAGGAAGUGCUGGGUAGAGAAGGGUGGGUCCCUGGCUAGGGCUCCACCUCCGGGCCUGUGCCCACCCACCGAGGUGAGGACAGGCAUUUGUUUUUGUGCCCAAAUGUUGCAUUUUCCAAGACCACCCUGGCCCACCAUGUCCCCAUCCUGUGCCUAUAAAAACCUCGAGACCCUAGUGGGCACAGACAGAAGUGGCUGGACGUCGAGAGGAUCACACCACUGGAAGAACACACGAGCUGCUAGAUGUCGAGAGGAGCAUGCUGGCAGGAGAACACACCGACAAACACCAGCAGAUGCUGGCAUGCCAUCCACCGGUGGAACGACGUGGACGCCGAGGGGAAUUUGGUGCUGGGCAGCCUGACUCCAGGGGAAAACCAGCUUCCCACUCCUUCCCUCUUCUGGCUCCCCAUUCAUCUGCUGAGAGCUACCACCACUCAACAAAAAACCUUGCACCCAUCCUCCAAGCCCACACGUGAUCCAAUUUUUCCAGUACACUAAGACAAGAACCCCAGGAUACUGAAAGCCUUCUGUCCUUGAGAUAAGGCAGAGGAUCUAAUUGAGCUCAUUAACACAAGCCACCUGUGGAUGGCUAAACUGAAAGAAUGCACUGCAACACAUGCACACUGGGGCCUCAAGAGCUGUAAACACUGAACCCUAGACACUGCUGUGGGGUCAGAGCCCCACAACCUGCCCGUCUGCAUGCUCCUCCUAGGGUAUGAGCAGCAGGGUACCAAAGAAGUGAGCCCUGGGAGGGGGAUAAGGGAACUUUUCCCAUUUCAAUUUGAUAUGUGAAGAAUCAAUACCAUUUCAAGGCAGUUAUUAUUAUCAGUUCAUAGGUGAAGAAACUGAGGUUCAGAAUCUUCCCCAAAUAACAAAAUUAGUAAAGGGUCUACCUGUGAUUUGAAAUCAGAUCUAGUUGAAUUAAAAACUCAGACUUUUCCUUCAUUUAUAACAAAAAGUGCCAACGAAGAAAAAUCUCUCACACAAAUCUUGGAAGGGAAACAUUCAGCAACAUAACUGCCUAUGGUCCCACUUACAGUUUUCACCACAAAUGCGGAAAUGUUCUUUUUUCUUCUUCUUCUCGUGGUCAUGUUUUAUAGCACUUAACAACAGUUGCAGUUGAUAAGUUAAGCCAAGGUCUCAGGACAGGGUCUUGCUCAAGGUGUCGGAAUCCCACUAAUGCUGUGUUCCAGCUACGAUUUUAAUCAAAGGUGCGCUCCCUGAGAAAGUCCCGGAGGGUUCACUACCAAGGACAAAGUGAGGAGGGGGAGGGUUUGGGUGGUUUCUUUAAAUUAUUGUUAUUAACUAGAGUCCUUACUUUAUUCAGAUUUCCUUAGUUUUUACCUAAUGUCUUUUUUCUGCUCCAGAAUUCUAUUCAGGACACCACAUUACAUUUAAUUGUGAUGUUUCCUUAGGCUUCUUUGGCUAUGACAGUUUCUCAAACUAAACUUUUUUUGAUGACCGUGACAACUUUGUGGAGAAUUGAUGAGCAAGAAGGCCCGUGCUAGAUGCUGGCACUUUGAUGUUGGACUUCCCAGCAUCCAGAACUCUGCAAGGUCACAAGACAGAUAAGCAUAAGCUGCAAACCAAGUUCUCACAGAGAUGUAAGACAUGUUCCAAAAGUGUCACAGCGGCCUUUUGUUCUCACUUCUGUAAGCCUGCUUCACUUAGUUCCUGCCUCAAAAUGCUUAAAAGGGACUCAUUUUCUUUGUUCUUGGGCUCAGCCUUUUAGGACACAAGUCCGCUGGGCCAGUGUACACCUUAAAAUAAACACCCUCCUGCACGCCAUCUGGUCUCUCUGGUUCCUUAAAUCCCACUUCAUGACAAGUUCAGUUUCUCAGAAAGAAACAUUUAAUAGGGACUUACAA
rnacentral:lncRNA from 1 species